rnacentral:rRNA from 1 species
UUAUUCUUCGUGUCAGCAGGUGUGGGGUCUGCCAACGAUAGCCUUGAUGAUACUUACAGGGUCGAUUACCUGAGCAGCUACAUGGGAAGCACGCUAGAUGCAAUAAGGAAUGGGGUUAAUGUGAGGGGUUAUUUCGCCUGGGCACUCAUGGAUCUAUUCGAGCUCCUGGCAGGAUACGAGUCCAAGUACGGCCUGUACCGCAUAGAUUUUGAUGACGAAAGGAGGCCACGGCAAGCCAGGCUCUCUGCUCGCUGGUACUCCGGCUUCCUGAAAAAGAAUGGAUCCUCUAUUCGAGUAUCAAGGGUGCAGGAGGACCUGAGGUUGACGACCGUCUUCUAA